CAAGUGACCCCGGUUACCACCGGGAUGUUCAUAACCCUUUGUUGUCCGACUCUGUUGCCUCCGGGGCGACCCUGCCUUCGGGCGGGGGCUCCGGGUGGACACUUCAAACUCUUGCGUAACUUUGCAGUCUGAGUAAACUUAAUUAAUAAAUUA
rnacentral:misc_RNA from 1 species